UUAACUCCAGUCCUCUUGGAUAGCUUUAUCUGAUUCUCAACUGGGGUUUUUCUCACAUCCCACUAUUCCCUCCCUUCUUGACCAGGCACCUGAAUGCAGCCGAAGACCCUGGAGCUCUGCUGCAGCCCUGCCAGACAGCUUCACUUCCUGAGCAACCCUGUGCCCUGAACAAGGCAUCUGUCGGCUUUUCUGCUUCUGAAGGAGAGGAGUUUCAUAUGGAGAUGCUCAACCAUUCUCAAGGCAUGCCCAUAAUGACAAAGAUAAUGAAGAAAGAUGGAAAUUUACGUUCCCAGGCUCCAUGUCACAGCCCAGCCAGGACGCAAUAUUCUCAAGGACAAGAAACUGCAAUAUUUUGAAACCAUUCUGCGUGCUUCGGAGUAUAGGCGGUUCACACAGACACUUGAUAAAGUGUUUAUACCCUGCCAGCCUCUCAUAGGAAAACAGAAGUGUCACGGCAGCUUCUCCAGCUCCGCAGCUAGAGAAAUAACUGCUUUGCCCACUGGUAAGCUGGAAAGAAGGAUUUUUCCUCCCCUCCCCAAGAGACUGCUAUGCAAAACUUGUAUGACUUGA
rnacentral:lncRNA from 1 species